AUUGAACGCUGGCGGCAUGCUUUACACAUGCAAGUCGAACGGUAACAGGGUGCUUGCACCGCUGACGAGUGGCGAACGGGUGAGUAAUGCGUCGGAACGUGCCGAGUAAUGGGGGAUAACGCAUCGAAAGGUGUGCUAAUACCGCAUACGCUCUGAGGAGGAAAGCUGGGGAUCGAAAGACCUGGCGUUAUUCGAGCGGCCGACGUCUGAUUAGCUAGUUGGUGAGGUAAAGGCUCACCAAGGCAACGAUCAGUAGCGGGUCUGAGAGGAUGAUCCGCCACACUGGGACUGAGACACGGCCCAGACUCCUACGGGAGGCAGCAGUGGGGAAUUUUGGACAAUGGGGGCAACCCUGAUCCAGCCAUGCCGCGUGUCUGAAGAAGGCCUUCGGGUUGUAAAGGACUUUUGUUAGGGAGCAAGUCCUGCAGGUUAAGAGCUAGUAGGGAUGAGAGUACCUAAAGAAUAAGCACCGGCUAACUACGUGCCAGCAGCCGCAGUAAGAC
rnacentral:rRNA from 1 species